rnacentral:lncRNA from 1 species
GGAGAGAGAAACUCUCGGCGUAGGCUUCAAUGGAACAGUGCGCUUGAUCAGCGCACGUUAGCAAGGUGCUUCCGCCAUUGAUAUGGCUCGUCGCCGGCGACAACCACUCCCUCCUCCACCCCAGAUCGUUACUCCGGCUCCAGGCAUCACAAAGGAACUCGAACCAUUGACAUUUGGAAGUUUUCUGCCAGAAAAAUUCCAAUCGAAAUCACCCUUGCAUGCAGUGGAAAUUGUGUGUACUGAGACUCAAUUGAAGGGGAUUGAUGUAGAACGAGAUAGUCAAGUUGUGAGGAAGCUUCAAUUUUCUGAUAUUGCUGUUGAAGAACAACCUACUCCGACUAUGGCUGAAAUUGUUAGAGGUAAGCAUAAUGUAGGGAAGGCUUUAUCCUUUGUUC